rnacentral:rRNA from 1 species
GAUCAUGGCUCAGGAUGAACGCUAGCUACAGGCUUAACACAUGCAAGUCGAGGGGCAGCAUGGUCAAAGCUUGCUUGAUUGAUGGCGACCGGCGCACGGGUGAGUAACGCGUAUCCAACCUUCCCUUAGUAGGGCAUAGCCCGGCGAAAGUCGGAUUAAUACCCUAUGUUGUGUCAUGAGGACAUCUGACUAACACUAAAGAUUUAUCGCUAAGGGAUGGGGAUGCGUCCGAUUAGCUUGCCGGCGGGGUAACGGCCCACCGGGGCGACGAUCGGUAGGGGUUCUGAGAGGAAGGUCCCCCACACUGGUACUGAGACACGGACCAGACUCCUACGGGAGGCAGCAGUGAGGAAUAUUGGUCAAUGGGCGAGAGCCUGAACCAGCCAAGUAGCGUGCAGGAUGACGGCCCUAUGGGUUGUAAACUGCUUUUAUGCGGGGAUAAAGUGACGUACGUGUACGUUUUUGUAGGUACCGCAUGAAUAAGGACCGGCUAAUUCCGUGCCAGCCGCUGC